UACGUAGGGGGCAAGCGUUGUCCGGAAUCAUUGGACGUAAAGCGCACGCAGGCGGUCCUAUUAGUCUGGGGUGACAGUUCCCGGCUUAACCGGAAAAGGACUCUGGAAACUGUAGGACUUGAGGGCUUCAGAGGGAUGUGGAAUUCCAGGUGGAGUGGUGAAAUGCGUAGAGAUCUGGAAGAACACCAAAGGCGAAGGCAGCAUCCUGGGAAGUUCCUGACGCUCGGGUGCGAAAGCCAGGGGAGCGAACGGG
rnacentral:rRNA from 1 species